GAAAUGCGAUACUUGGUGUGAAUUGCAGGAUUCAGUGAAUCAUCAAGACCUUGAACGCAAAUGGUACUACACGGGUUUUCGGAUUCGUGUAGUAUAUCUGUUUGAGUGCUAGUUUGUCUUUAUCAAACCUUCAUGUCUCUUUUUUGAGACGUGUCGUGUCUGGAGAGUGACGCUUUUUUGCGAACCGUUUUUUUUUAAUAGAAAUGAUCGCAUGCGUUCAAGUGCAUUGCUGUGAGACGACAAAUCACGAAAUGGUGAAGUAGUGUGAUUCAGUUCACUCAAUAAUACCCGCCAAUUUGUUUUAACUUGUCAUUUUAAUCUCGCGGCUUCGCAGGAAAUAAUAAAACAAACUCAUCAAAUAGCCUCAAAUCAGAUAAGACUACCCGCUGAAUUUAA
rnacentral:misc_RNA from 1 species